AUUGAACGCUGGCGGCAGGCCUAACACAUGCAAGUCGAACGAGUGGCGGACGGGUGAGUAAUGUCUGGGAAACUGCCUGAUGGAGGGGGAUAACUACCGGAAACGGUAGCUAAUACCGCAUACCAUUGGACGUGCCCAUAUGGGCUUAGCUAGUAGGUGGGGUAAAGGCUCACCUAGGCGACGAUCCCUGUCUGGUAUGAGAGGAGGACCAUCCACACUGGAACUGAGACACGGUCCAGACUCCUACGGGAGGCAGCAGUGGGGAAUGUUGCACAAUGGGGGCAAGCCUGAUACAGCCAUGCCGCGUGUAUGAAGAAGGCCGUCGGGUUUUAAAGUACUUUCGGCAGAGAAGCGUUACCCGCAGAAUAAGCACCGGCUAACUCCGUGCCAGCAGCCGCGGUAAUUC
rnacentral:rRNA from 1 species